UAGGGAAUCUUCGGCAAUGGACGGAAGUCUGACCGAGCAACGCCGCGUGAGUGAAGAAGGUUUUCGGAUUGUAAAGCUCUGUUGUUAGAGAAGAACGUUGGUAGGAGUGGAAAAUCUACCAAGUGACGGUAACUAACCAGAAAGGGACGGCUAACUACGUGCCAGCAGCCGCGGUAAUACGUAGGUCCCGAGCGUUGUCCGGAUUUAUUGGGCGUAAAGCGAGCGCAGGCGGUUCUUUAAGUCUGAAGUUAAAGGCAGUGGCUUAACCAUUGUACGCUUUGGAAACUGGAGGACUUGAGUGCAGAAGGGGAGAGUAGAAUUCCAUGUGUAGCGGUGAAAUGCGUAGAUAUAUGGAGGAACACCGGUGGCGAAAGCGGCUCUCUGGUCUGUAACUGACGAUGAGGCUCGAAAGCGUGGGGAGCAAACAGG
rnacentral:rRNA from 1 species